AAAGUUGAAAAGAACUUUGAAGAGAGAGUUCAAAAGGGCGUGAAACCGCUUAGAAUAAAACGGACGGAGCCGUCAGGAGCUCCCGAGACUCAGUCGUAGGGUAGGCGAACGUAUUCGCGUCCUCCGGAGCGUAAAGUCCGAGGCGUAGUACUUUAUCAGUAGCCGACCUAAGACGCAUUUCUCGGGGGUAAGCAUCGUAACCGAUACGAAAGGCUAGCGAAGCGAGGACGUUGAGGUCUAGUGUCUUUAAUCGGAGACUAGUUUCCAGCGAAUUCGCCUAUAAUCGCUAGACCGCAGUAUGUAUCGAGCGCUCACGAAUAAAUGAGAAAGGACGUUCGCCUUAGAGGUUCGUUCGAACGGCGGAAAGUCGAUUAAUUAGUCGGUUUACCUGCUCGCAGGCGCCGUUCUAAUCUAGUCGUUCUUUCGAAGUCGUCGACGACGCGACGUCCGGGCGUUAACGAUGUCAGAGCCGGUCGCCCGUCCGACCCGUCUUGAAACACGGACCAAGGAGUCUAACAUACGCGCGAGGCAAUAGGCGGAAAACCUAGAGCCGCAAUAAAAGUGAAGACUCGAUUACGUCGAGUCGAGGUACGAUCCUAGACCUAUUCUAACGAAAGUUUAGGCGCAGUACCGUCUCGUCCCUAAGACUCGUUCUAAGGGCGAAGAUAGAGCGCGUACGUUGGGACCCGAAAGAUGGUGAACUAUGCCCGAGCAGAGCGAAGCCAGAGGAAACUCUGGUGGAGGUUCGUAGCGGUUCUGACGUGCAAAUCGAUCGUCAGACUUGGGUAUAGGGGCGAAAGACUAAUCGAACCAUCUAGUA
rnacentral:rRNA from 1 species